UACAGAGGGGGCAAGCGUUAUUCGGAAUUAUUGGGCGUAAAGGGCGCGUAGGCGGCCUGGCAAGUGACGGGUGAAAGGCCCUCGGCUCAACCGAGGAACUGCCUGUCAUACUGCCGGGCUUGAAUCCGGGAGAGGUGAGUGGAAUUCCGAGUGUAGAGGUGAAAUUCGUAGAUAUUCGGAAGAACACCAGUGGCGGAAGGCGGACUCACUGGACCGGUAUUGGACGCUGAUGUGCGAAAGCGAU
rnacentral:rRNA from 1 species